GAUGAACGCUGGCGGCGUGCCUAAUACAUGCAAGUCGAGCGAAGCGGGGACGGGUGUGUAACACGUGGAUAACCUCCUAUAAGCCUGGGAUCACUUCGGGAAACCGGUGCAAAACUGGCCACUUACACAUGGAUCCGCGCUGCAUUAGCUAUGUGCUAAGCUACCUGCUUACAAAGGCAACGAGGCAGAGCCGACCUGAGAGGUGGAUCUGCCACACUGGAGCUGAGACACGGUCCAGACUCCUACGGGAGGCAGCAUUAGGGAAUAUUCCGCAAUGGGCGAAAGCCUAACGGAGCAACGCCGCGUGAGUGAUGAAGGUCUUCGGAUGGUAAACCUCUGUUAUUAGGUAAGCGGUACCUAAUCAGAAAGCCACGGCUAACUCCGUGCCAGCAGCCGCGGUAAUAC
rnacentral:rRNA from 1 species